AUAGCAAGAGUAUUCAAACACUCACUCUCUGCUUAGGAGCUAUCACUACCCUGUUCACCGCUAUCUGUGCCCUAACCCAAAACGAAAUUAAGAAAAUUAUCGCAUUCUCUACUUCAAGCCAAUUAGGAUUGAUAAUAGUCACCACUGGAAUUAAUCAACCCCACUUAGCAUUUCUCCACAUUUGUACACGUGCAUUCUUCAAAGCUAUAUUAUUUAUAUGCUCAGGAUCAAUUAUCCAUAACCUAAAUGACGAACAAGAUAUUCGAAAAAUAGGAGGACUAUUUAAAGCUCUUCCAUUUACCUCAUCUUCACUUAUUAUUGGUAGUCUGGCACUAACAGGAACUCCCUUUUUAACUGGAUUCUACUCUAAAGACCUAAUUAUCGAGUCUGCAAACACGUCAUAUGCCAACGCCUGAGCCCUUACUAUUACACUAUUUGCCACUUCCCUAACCGCUGUCUACAGUACAUGAAUUAUCUUCUAUGCUCUAAUAGGACAACCUCAGUUCUCUACACUAACUUCCAUUAAUGAAAAUUACCCUCAACUACUUAAUUCAAUUAAACGCCUUCUUAUUGACAGUAUCUUUGCAGGAUUUAUCCUUUCAUUAAACAUCCCACCUAUUAAAUGUUCCAGUACUAACCAUACCUAUUUAUCUAAAAUUUACAGCACUAUUAGUAACCAUUUUAGG
rnacentral:lncRNA from 1 species